AACGUAAUGUGUAACAUACAAGAUAAAUAGAACCAAACAAUAUUUACUGGAUCAAACAGUCUGUGUUUAACGUUAUGUGUAACAUACAAGAUAAAUAGAACCAAACAGUAUUUACUGGACCAAAAGGUAUUGACUUAACCAAAUAGUAAAGUGUUCAAAUUUUUACAGAUCUAUAUCUGAUUUGAAGCUUAUCACUUAACAAAAACAAAGUUACUGGAAUUAUACCAGUGUUUAUAUACUAAAGAAACAGUACGAAAAAAUAAAGCCGUUUUCCUUUUAGAGUAAAAAAUGUUUAUCAUGUCUUUUCUAAAUGACUUUUUUUUAUGCCCCAUUUAUGGGCAUUAUGUUUUCUGGUCUGUGCAUCCGUUCGUUUGUCUGUGCGUCCGUUCGUCUGUGACUCAAUUCGUCCUGCUUCAGGUUAAAGUUUUUGGUCGAGGUUAAAGAUUUUGAUCCAGGUAGUUUUUGAUGAAGUUGAAGUCCAAUCAACUUGAAACUUAGUACUCAUGUUCCUAAUGAUAUGAUUUUUUCUAAUUUAAAUGCCAAAUUUGAGAUUUUCCCCCAUUUUCACGGUCCAUUGAGCAUAGAAAAUGAUAGUGCGAAUAAGGCAUCCGUGUACUAGGGACACAUUCUUGUUUACAGCUGCUCUGCAUUGGAACCUGUCUUGAUUAGAUAAGUGUAUGGUUAAGAUUAUUUGAUGUUCGUUCCAAUUUAAGACUGUUUAGACAAAAUUACACAGAUAUCAAUGUCUGAUUGGUCAAUGUUCAGAAUAGUAAAGAUCAGAGGGUAAGGUUCAUUCGUCAUACAUUGUUUGUCAGUUAGAGGAUAAGCUGACAGUGUCAACAUUUAAUAUCAUCAUAUCAUAUGUAUAAGCACUAAAUGUCAUAUAUUUGGGGUUUUUCUCAUUGUGAGAAUGGAUUGGACAUCGUUAAAAGAUGUGUUGAUUGUUAUUAUUGAAGGUUGUUACAUUUAUUAUUAACUUUUCAAAUUUUAUGUCAGAUUUAGAAUAAGGGUAAUCACUAAUCAGUGAUGUAUAAUUAAUAUUUUGUGUACCAAAAUUGGUUAAUUUAGAUUAUUUGUUUCAAUGGAGAAGCCUUCUGUUUAACCUAGAGGCAUUAUAAAAAUCUAUUUUACACUUUGUUUUAAUGCAAUGCCAUUGAAGGUUUGACCUCUGUGGUCGUAUUAUAAAGCUGUGCUCUGUGGAGCACCUGGUUUUUGUAUAAUGUCAAAGAAGUAAAAUUAUCAGUUCCCAUUUGACUAGGAGAUGAUUUUCAUUUCCAUAAAAAGUGAGAUGAGCAAAAUAAUGAUCAGAUUUAAAAAGAGAGAGAGAGAGAGAAUGAGUUAAAAUUAAAUGUGAAUCAUGCAUACAUCUUUGUAAUUUGUUCUAUAAAAAUAUAUUGAGAGGAGAUUUACAUUUUGUAAGCUUCACACCCCAAACUAGUUCUACAAAUAAGAAAAACAAAUGGUUUGUUGUAAUGAAUUCACAUAUUUUAUGUCUAUAAAAUCAUUUCAUAUUUAUAGUCCAAAAUAUAGUGAGUGUGGAAAUUAAAAGGUUGCAAAAUUGUUAUAUCUAGUCCAAUUCUAACAAGGUAUCAUCUAUACAUGUAUUAAAUAAGAGUAUUGAAUUAGUCGACCAUGAUGUAUUCCAAAAUGCAUUGUUUGGACAAUUUUAUUUAAUUAUAUAAUAUGAGCACACACAUUAAGACCAAGAGUUGGUCAAGCAAUAUGCUAAGUUUCAUACUUAUUUGAUGCUAUUAUUAAUAUUUUUCAUGUCACUUAAAGAUAUUUAUUUUAAUGGGCAAACAUUUGUUACAUUUACUUCUCCAAUCUCCUCAUCAAUAAUCAUGUCCUGAAUAUAUGCAUGAAAUAUUUGCAACUGAACAUUAAUCAAACUACAAUGGCUCCAUUGGGGACAGAAUUCGUACCAUUUGCAUAAAAGUAAAUAAUGCAAGUCUCCUGAAUUAAGUUUCCUCAUUGAUUGGAUUAUAAUUGCAAUGUUUGACCUGUAAAAUGUAUUUUUUUUUUGGUAUGAUGAAUAAAGGCUUUAAUAUGUAUAUCGAUUGUGUAUACCGUUAAUUGUAAUUAUUUUUUGGCCAUAUUUGACAAAGUCUAAAUCAACUCCUGUAGGUUUCAACCCAAAUCACUGAAACUUCCCAGGAAGAUUCCACAAAUUUUGAAGUUGUGCACCUGCUAUAAUGGAAUUUAUGGAGGAAUUUUAUCUCAUUUCUCCAGACUGGGGAACGUUUUCAACAAAUUUCUGAAAGAAGGCAGAAUUUUGCAAUGUCUCCUACAAUUUUCAACCAAGAUCCCUAACACAUCACAGAAUGAUUUUGCACAUGUUGAAUUAGUGCAAGUGCUAUUAUUGAAUAAUUGUUUGAAGAAUUUUUGGACAUAAUUCCAGACUUGGGGACUUAAUUUGUUCCAUCAAACUCACUAAAAGGUAUCUUAUAUUGUAAUCAUCAACUUUUACAGUUCUACAACGGCAGAUCCCUUAAAACAAUACAUUGAUACUCACAAAUAUUUCAACCUAUGUAUUUGAGACUUUAACCCAUUUUUACAUUAUAUUCUAUUUUUCAUGAUAAAGUUUUAAAAAAAUAUAGCAUAAUACAACUUUUAGUGAAACUCAUAUUUUGUUUAUAUUUCUUGUUACAUGAUAAUUUAUUUGUGCUAAUUUAGCUUUUUUGCCAAGUUUUAUUAAUUAACAACUGUUAAAACUCUAAAUAAUAUCCCGUAGAAACUCGUUCAAAAUGUUUAAAAUACAAUAAAAAGAGCGUACUUAAAACUUAUCGUAGAGCAUUUUACCUUUGCCUUGUACAUUGAUGGACACCUCCAGGGAGACUCAGGGGCGGAUCCAGCCAUUUGAAAAAAAGGGGGGUU
rnacentral:lncRNA from 1 species